rnacentral:rRNA from 1 species
AACGAACGCUGGCGGCGCGCCUAAUACAUGCAAGUCGAGCGAGAAGACGUAGCAAUACGUUUGUAAAGCGGCGAACGGGUGAGGAAUACAUGGGUAACCUACCCUCGAGUGGGAAUAACUAGCCGAAGGUUAGCUAACACCGCGUACGCUCCUUGGACUUCGGUUCAGGGAGGAAAGCGAUACCGUGGGUAUCGCGCUCUUGGAUGGGCUCAUGUCCUAUCAGCUUGUUGGUGAGGAACGGCUCACCAAGGCUUCGACGGGUAGCUGGUCUGAGAGGACAAUCAGCCACACUGGCACUGCGACACGGGCCAGACUCCUACGGGAGGCAGCAGUAAGGAAUAUUGCGCAAUGGGCGAAAGCCUGACGCAGCGACGCCGCGUGGGGGAGUGAA